GGGCACGACACCGGAGAGGGAGCCUGAGAAACGGCUACCACAUCCAAGGAUGGCAGCAGGCGCGCAAAUUACCCAAUCCCGACACGGGGAGGUAGUGACAAUAAAUAACAAUACGGGGUUCUUUAGGAUCUCGUAAUUGGAAUGAGUACAAUUUAAAUCUCUUAACGAGGAACAAUUGGAGGGCAAGUCUGGUGCCAGCAGCCGCGGUAAUUCCAGCUCCAAUAGCGUAUAUUAAAGUUGUUGCAGUUAAAAAGCUCGUAGUUGAAUUUCGGGGUUAGUAGGUUGGUCAUGCCUCUGGUAUGUACUGGUCUCACUGAUUCCUCCUUCCUUAUGAACCGUAAUGCCAUUAAUUUGGUGUUGCGGGGAAUUUGGACUGUUACUUUGAAAAAAUUAGAGUGUUUAAAGCAAGCUAACGCUUGAAUACAUUAGCAUGGAAUAAUGAAAUAGGACGUUCGAUCUUAUUUUGUUGGUUUCUAGGAUUGACGUAAUGAUUAAUAGGGAUAGUUGGGGGCAUUAGUAUUCAAUUGUCAGAGGUGAAAUUCUUGGAUUUAUUGAAGACUAACUACUGCGAAAGCAUUUGCCAAGGAUGUUUUCAUUAAUCAAGAACGAAAGUUAGGGGAUCGAAGACGAUCAGAUACCGUCGUAGUCUUAACCAUAAACUAUGCCGACUAGGGAUCGGAUGAUGUUAAUUUUUUAAUGACUCAUUCGGCGCCUUACGGGA
rnacentral:rRNA from 1 species